ensembl:lncRNA
AUUUGCCUUCGUGAUGAGGGUUUAAUCUGUUUUACUAAGUUUGGUCUGAACCUUUGUGUCAGUAUCGACACUGUAUCUAGUUUCAGUUGAGAGAACAGAGCGCCAUCUCUCUCCUCUCACUCCACCUGGUCUCAUUUCUACAUCAACAGUCAUCGUUGGAUUUCUCCCUUCUCUGAGCACAAAAUCAACCCAGCGAGGUCAGAAACAUCAGCCAGUGGAAGAAAAGACAUGAACUCACCUCCGGCUGCAGAGUCUGAAGAACAUCGGUCCAUGUGAAGUCGACGGGAGGGCGAACAAGUGCUCCGCUCUCCCUCAUUCCCACAUUUCAGCUCCGGACGGCUGUGAGAGCAGCGGGGGAGACGUCGAGGCUCCUGCAGGCUCACAGGACCGUCCGGAUCGUGUUUUCCGUCUCUAAUCAUCAUCGCCAUCCUCCUCCUCGUCAUCAUCAUCAUCAUCACCACGGCACAGUCACCGAUUCUUGGUUCCUUCAUCCAACAUUUACGCGCCUGUAAUGUCGGGAGGACACAUCUACCAGGACGGUUUAGGCUGUUGUACUCUGCAGCUGUGUCGUUUUGAUUUCACUUUUGGACGUACACCAAAAAUAAUCGACGCGUAAAAGUCCUUCUUCAUUCGUGCGUAAAAGCUCGUCAAUGAGUGACGCGUUGUGCGUUUCGUCAGUGAGAGCAGGGUAAGUUUUCAGACGCGCUGUUGGCUCCUGUCAGGCGGAGACUUUGGGCAUCUGAGUGAACCUGUUGGAUUAUAAAAACCUCAAUCUGUCACUUUUAGGGGCGACAAGUUUUGGAGAGUCCGGCGCGUCUUCAGCGGAUUUUUUGUUCGGUUUGUUUUUUUGGUUUUUUUGCGCCUUUGUGACCCCGAAGCCCUUUCUGUGGUGAUUACAUGGUCGGAACAAUGUUUUUAUGCAACACGAGUGCCAUUAAGGACUGGAGCUACUUCCUCUCUCAGAUAUUGCCUCUGAUGAAUAAAACUAGCGGCUUGGUGAACAUGAACAAAGCGGAGGACGUGACGACCACCAUGGUGACGGCUCUGCAGCCGGACAGCGCCAUGAGCGCGAGUAACCCGCCUCUCAACUCCAACCAUACCUCGGGCAUGGAGCACGUCUUCCAGUACUCGUACUCGGAGAGCGACCUGCUGUACACGGACUACCGGACCCCGGCACGAGACUCCAUCCCGCUGCCCAAAGCGGUUCUGUACCUGGUGAUGGCGGCGCUGGUGCUCAGUUCCUCUGUGAUGCCGCUCCGCCCAUAAAAAGUCUUUUUAGCAGUAAAAUUAACGUCUCCAUCAGCACUGACCUCCAGAGUAACAGCACUGUUAUCACUUUGUCUCCCUGCAGAGUGGGUGUACAGCUCCCGUCGACUUAACAACCGCAACAAGACCGAGGUUAACUGCAUCACUAACAACAUGAACGAGAUGAGCGAGCUGAGCGAGAGGCCUCGGCCGGUGGACAUGAGCUACAUAUCCCUGAACCACACCAACUGCCUGAGCCCCAGCAGGCCGGAGGAGGUGGUGGUCACCGUGGACGAGACGUUGCAGCAGCGACCUCCCGACACACACUCUGGGACUUAACCGUGACCUGCCGACCUUCUCUGGGAGAAAUACAGCAGCGUGUUUGCUCGCGUUUCUUGUUCAAGUGGAUUUAAAAGUCUUUCAUGAAUCAAAGCUCUAUCCACUGUUUUAUCACCUGCAGG